rnacentral:rRNA from 1 species
GAUGAACGCUGGCGGCGUGCCUAAUACAUGCCAGUCGAGCGAACAGACGAGGAGCUUGCUCCUCUGAUGUUAGCGGCGGACGGGUGAGUAACACGUGGAUAACCUACCUAUAAGACUGGGAUAACUUCGGGAAACCGGAGCUAAUACCGGAUAACAUGUUGAACCGCAUGGUUCAACAGUGAAAGAAGGUCUUGCUUUCACUUUUAGAUGGAUCCGCGCCGCAUUAGCUAGUUGGUAAGGUAACGGCUUACCAAGGCAACGAUGCGUAGCCGACCUGAGAGGGUGAUCGGCCACACUGGAACUGAGACACGGUCCAGACUCCUACGGGAGGCAGCAGUAGGGAAUCUUCCGCAAUGGGCGAAAGCCUGACGGAGCAACGCCGCGUGAGUGAAGAAGGUCUUCGGAUCGUAAAACUCUGUUAUUAGGGAAGAACAAAUGUGUAAGUAACUAUGCACGUCUUGACGGUACCUAAUCAGAAAGCCACGGCUAACUACGUG